rnacentral:rRNA from 1 species
AACGCGAAGAACCUUACCUGGGUUUGACAUGGAUCGGGAGUGCUCAGAGAUGGGUGUGCCUCUUUUGGGGUCGGUUCACAGGUGGUGCAUGGCUGUCGUCAGCUCGUGUCGUGAGAUGUUGGGUUAAGUCCCGCAACGAGCGCAACCCUUGUUCACUGUUGCCAGCACGUUAUGGUGGGGACUCAGUGGAGACCGCCGGGGUCAACUCGGAGGAAGGUGGGGAUGACGUCAAGUCAUCAUGCCCCUUAUGUCCAGGGCUUCACGCAUGCUACAAUGGCUGGUACAGAGAGUGGCGAGCCUGUGAGGGUGAGCGAAUCUCGGAAAGCCGGUCUCAGUUCGGAUUGGGGUCUGCAACUCGACCUCAUGAAGUCGGAGUCGCUAGUAAUCGCAGAUC